rnacentral:rRNA from 1 species
CAGCCCUAAACGAUGCGCGUUAGGUGUAUCGGUGACCACGAGUUACCGAGGUGCCGAAGGGAAACCGUGAAACGUGCCGCCUGGGAAGUACGGUCGCAAGGCUGAAACUUAAAGGAAUUGGCGGGGGAGCACAACAACGGGUGGAGCCUGCGGUUUAAUUGGACUCAACGCCGGACAACUCACCGGGGGACGACAGCAAUGUGUAGGCCAGGCUGAAGACCUUGCCUGAAUCGCUGAGAGGAGGUGCAUGGCGUCAGUGACU